rnacentral:lncRNA from 13 species
AUGCGACUGAGUCUCAAAGCAUUUGCUUUCAGCCGCAGAGAGAAGAAGCUGCCCAAGAAUGGAAAGGAAGAAAUAUAUCACAUCAUCUGUCUGUCCACAGGCUUUCCUCUGGGCUUAUGGAGAUUUCCUAGGGGUAAUUAUUUCCCAUUGACUAAGACCACAGGACAGUGUGAACACCUAACAAAAAGUAUGAGGCUGAUAUGGAGAAUAUGCCAAGUCAACUGGAUGAGUCAGCACAGGCAGCUCAAUGGACUGCAGUUAAGAGCUAGGGCUAGGACUUGGAGGAUGUGUAGGCAAACGGAAAGAGAGCCGGGAGAAGAAAAACCGAAAUGGAUUCAUUCUCUGUCCUGGAUGAAGGAAGAGAGGAGAAGAGAAGGGGACGUGCGAGCUUCCUUCAACUGUCUCUGUCCGGUGAAAAGUGCUCAGACCCCCGGGGCUGCGCCGGGCUCCGAAGUCCACGCGGACUUUCGCGUUGAGCUGCCAAUCAAACCGCUCACAGCCACCACCCUGCUCUGGCACCGACAUGUAAGUAGCUGCAGCACAACUUCGACAUUCACAGUUUUUCCCCCCUCCUCCCCCGUGACCUUUAAAAUGAUCUGGAAAUGUAGCUCCCACCUACGACCCGCCGCUCUGAGCUCCACUGCGUUAAGCUCGGGGACUCGCGUACGGCUUUGGGCUCGGCUGAAAGUGCGCGGCCGCUCAUCGCGAGCGAAGCGGUGGGCAGAAGCGCUCCCGGUCCGCGGGCUGCCCUGCCCCGCCUGCCCCUCUCCCGCGGAGCUCACGGCCCGCGGGCAGCGCUGGGCUAGAGCAGAGCCGGACUCUCCCCUGCCGCCCCGGGGUGUUUCAGGCGGGGCCGCUAUUUUGGCGCUGUCCCGCGGGGCGAGCCGCGGAGAGGCGCGCAGCCCCCAGCCGCGCAUCGCACCGGGCGACAGGCUAGAAGCCACCGCGCCGCUCCCGGCGAUUCUCCGUGGGUUUCCCGGGCCGGGAGGUGCCCCAGGCCGGGCGCUCCGCGGGGGCGGCCGGGGCGGUGCGCGGGGCGCGGAGCGGCC